AGCCAAUGUAUCCUGCAGAACGUAUAACUGGUGGGCCAAUAGUAACUAUACAAACGAAUGGUCAAACUGCCCAUCAUUUUCACCAUUCAUGAGUGGUUUGAAACGAACUGCAGCUGCUUCCGCUUAUGAGGAUACGUUAGUGAGCAUAGUGGGAAAGAAAUGUUGCAAUGUUACUAAGAUAGAUGUGCAAUCUGAGUGUAUGUUAGACGACAGCUGGAGAAAAAGCUUGGAUGG